rnacentral:rRNA from 1 species
AACGUAGGUGGCGAGCGUUAUCCGGAAUUACUGGGCGUAAAGCGUGUGCAGGCGGGCGGAUAAGUGGUGUAUGAAAUAUCCCGGCUCAACCGGGAAGGGUUAUGCCAGACUGUCCGUCUUGAGUGCGAGAGAGGAGCGUGGAAUUCCGGGUGUAGUGGUGAAAUGCGUAGAGAUGUGGAGGAACACCGAUGGCGAAGGCAGCCUUCUGGGCCAAUACUGACGCUCAUGCACGAAAGCGUGGGGAGCAAACAGG